rnacentral:rRNA from 1 species
GUUUUUUUGAAAUAAAUUUAAUUUACAAAUUUUUGAUUUUUUAAUUAUUUAUUUAAUUGAAAAAUUUAUUUAUUUGAAUAUUUUAAGGGAUAAGCUUUAAGAUAAAUUAUUAAAAAUUAAUAGAAUGGUGUAUAAAAUGUAGGCUUAGAAUUAGCAAUCGUUGUAAAGUUUGUUAUAAUUUAUUUUAUAAAUUAUAUUAUUUAUUAUAUUUUAAUUUAUUUAUAAAAAUUUUUUUAUUAAUGGAGUAUAGAAAGGAAUAAUGAUAGAAUUAGUAUAUUUAUUUGUAAAUAUAAUUUUAUAUGACAAGUUUAUGUAAAGAACUCGGCAAAGAUUUUACUCGCCUGUUUAACAAAAACAUGUCUUUUUGAGUUAUUUUAAAAGUCUGACCUGCCCACUGAAUUUAUUUAAAUGGCCGCAGUAUUUUAACUGUGCAAAGGUAGCAUAAUCAUUAGUCUUUUAAUUGAA